rnacentral:misc_RNA from 1 species
UUUCCGUAGGUGAACCUGCGGAAGGAUAAUUCAUAAUAAGUGUUUUAUGGCACUUUUUUAAAUCCAUAUCCACCUUGUGUGCAAUGUCAGGGUUGAUUUUUCUCUCGAGAGGAUCAACCCCAAACAUCAACUAUACCUCAACUCUUUGUCUGAAAAAUAUUAUGAAUAAAACAAUUCAAAAUACAACUUUCAACAACGGAUCUCUUGGCUCUC